AACGAACGCUGGCGGCAUGCCUAACACAUGCAAGUCGAACGAAGCCUUCGGGCUUAGUGGCGCACGGGUGCGUAACACGUGGGAAUCUGCCCUUAGGUACGGAAUAACUCAGGGAAACUUGAGCUAAUACCGUAUGAUGUCUUCGGACCAAAGGUUUAUCGCCUAAGGAUGAGCCCGCGUCGGAUUAGCUAGUUGGUGGGGUAAAGGCCUACCAAGGCGACGAUCCGUAGCUGGUCUGAGAGGAUGAUCAGCCACACUGGGACUGAGACACGGCCCAGACUCCUACGGGAGGCAGCAGUGGGGAAUAUUGGACAAUGGGCGAAAGCCUGAUCCAGCAAUGCCGCGUGAGUGAAGAAGGCCUUCGGGUUGUAAAGCUCUUUUACCCGGGAAGAUAAUGACUGUACCGGGAGAAUAAGCCCCGGCUAACUCCGUGCCAGCCGCCGCCGUAACAC
rnacentral:rRNA from 1 species